UACAGAGGCCACGAGCGUUAGUCGGAAUCACUGGGCUUAAAGGGUGCGUAGGCGGGCUCGCAAGCGUCUUGUGAAAUCCCAUGGCUCAACCAUGGAAUUGCAGGGCGAACUGCGAGUCUUGAGGCAGGUAGGGGCCGGAAGAACAGUAGGUGGAGCGGUGAAAUGCGUAGAUAUCUACUGGAAUGCCGAUGGGGAAGCCGUCCGGCUGGGCCUGUCCUGACGCUGAGGCACGAAAGCGUGGGGAGCAAACAGG
rnacentral:rRNA from 1 species